AGCUUCCUGGAUCCGUGAAGAGAUUUCGUCAGAAAUCAACCCACUAGGGCUGGCCAGACUUCCAAGAUAAGUGAAGUU
rfam:Schistosoma curassoni strain Dakar, Senegal genome assembly, scaffold: SCTD_scaffold0000114